UUUUAUCUUUAGCAAUGCUGAUAAAACUGAAUUUUUUUAAAAAAAGAGUAUUUCCAGCCUUCUAACCAAAUAUUAGAGACUUUUACAAAAGCACUCUCACAAAAUAAUGCUUUUAUAAUCAAUUUAAAAGUCUUUCAAAUCGUUAAUCAUUUUCUAAAGGCGAAAAAGAAGAAUCACCAAUCUUCAUACCAUUUAAUAAAGCUAUUUUAAUAAAACGCAAUACAAAUUGUUGUAAAUUAGUAUUUGAAUAAUUUUCACGUUGUUACCUUAUUUUGCAGUUUCCUAUCACUUUGUAUUGAAUUAACUAAAUCCAAUAUUACAGUUCCUUAUACCAAGUACUUCACAUUUUCUGUUUUUGUUUUAUGCAGAAAAACAGAUCAAGUUAA